AGCGAAUAGAUACCCGGGUAGUCCACGCUGUAAACGAUGGAUACUAUGUGUUUGGAGAGUUAAACCCUCUGAGUACAGAAAGCUAACGCAUUAAGUAUCCCGCCUGGGGAGUACGGUCGCAAGGCUAAAACUCAAAGGAAUUGACGGGGGCCCGCACAAGCGGUGGAGUAUGUGGCUUAAUUCGAAGCAACGCGCAGAACCUUACCUACCCUUAACAUCCCGUGCUAGUGGCAGAGAUGUCAUGUUCCCUUCGGGGACGCGGAGAUAGGUGCUGCAUGGCUGUCGUCAGCUCGUGUCGUAAGAUGUCUGGUUAAGUCCAAUAACGAGCGCAACCCUUGUCUUUAGUUACCAUCAUUAAGUUGGGGACUCUAGAGAGACUGCCGGUGUUAAACCCGGAGGAAGGCGGGGUAUGACGUCAAGUCCUCAUGGCCCUUACGGGUAGGGCUACACACGUACUACAAUGGCAGAAAC
rnacentral:rRNA from 1 species